rnacentral:rRNA from 1 species
GGAUAACGUUUGGAAACGAACGCUAAUACCGCAUGAUAUUAUUGAGCUGCAUGGCUUGAUAAUCAAAGGAGCAAUCCGCUGAAAGAUGGGCUCGCGUCCGAUUAGGUAGUUGGCGGGGCAACGGCCCACCAAGCCGACGAUCGGUAGCCGGACUGAGAGGUUGAACGGCCACAUUGGGACUGUGACACGGCCCAGACUCCUACGGGAGGCAGCAGUGAGGGAUAUUGGUCAAUGGGGGAAACCCUGAACCAGCAACGCCGCGUGAGGGAAGACGGUUUUCGGAUUGUAAACCUCUGUCCUCUGUGAAGAUAAUGACGGUAGCAGAGGAGGAAGCUCCGGCUAACUACGUGCCAGCAGCCGCGGUAAUACGUAGGGAGCAAGCGUUGUCCGGAUUUACUGGGUGUAAAGGGUGCGUAGGCGGCUUUGCAAGUCAGAAGUGAAAUCCAUGGGCUUAACCCAUGAACUGCUUUUGAAACUGCAGAGCUUGAGUGGAGUAGAGGUAGGCGGAAUUCCCGGUGUAGCGGUGAAAUGCGUAGAGAUCGGGAGGAACACCAGUGGCGAAGGCGGCCUGCUGGGCUCUAACUGACGCUGAGGCACGAAAGCGUGGGUAGCAAACAGGAUUAGAUACCCUGGUAGUCCACGCUGUAAACGAUGAUUACUAGGUGUGGGUGGACUGACCCCAUCCGUGCCGGAG